GACGAACGCUGGCGGCGUGCCUAACACAUGCAAGUCGAACGGUAAGGCCCUUCGGGGUACGCGAGUGGCGAACGGGUGAGUAACACGUGGGUGAUCUGCCCUGCACUUCGGGAUAAGACUGGGAAACUGGGUCUAAUACCGGAUAGGACUCCGGAAUGCAUGGUGGUGGUGGAAAGCUUUUGCGGUGUGGGAUGGGCCCGCGGCCUAUCAGCGUGUUGGUGGGGUGAUGGCCUACCAAGGCGACGACGGGUAGCCGGCCUGAGAGGGUGACCGGCCACACUGGGACUGAGAUACGGCCCAGACUCCUACGGGAGGCAGCAGUGGGGAAUAUUGCACAAUGGGCGCAAGCCUGAUGCAGCGACGCCGCGUGAGGGAUGACGGCCUUCGGGUUGUAAACCUCUUUCAGCACCGACGAAGCGCAAGUGACAGUAGGUGCAGAAGAAGGACCGGCCAACUACGUGCCAGCAGCCGCGGUAA
rnacentral:rRNA from 1 species